GAUGAACGCUAGCUACAGGCUUAACACAUGCAAGUCGAGGGGAAACGAUAGAGAAAGCUUGCUUUUUCUAGGCGUCGACCGGCGCACGGGUGAGUAACGCGUAUCCAACCUGCCCACCACUUGGGGAUAACCUUGCGAAAGUAAGACUAAUACCCAAUGAUAUCUCAAGAAGACAUCUGAAUGAGAUUAAAGAUUUAUCGGUGAUGGAUGGGGAUGCGUCUGGUUAGCUUGUUGGCGGGGUAACGGCCCACCAAGGCGACGAUCAGUAGGGGUUCUGAGAGGAAGGUCCCCCACAUUGGAACUGAGACACGGUCCAAACUCCUACAGGAGGCAGCAGUGAGGAAUAUUGGUCAAUGGGCGAGAGCCUGAACCAGCCAAGUAGCGUGCAGGAUGACGGCCCUAUGGGUUGUAAACUGCUUUUAUAAGGGAAUAAAGUGAGUCUCGUGAGACUUUUUGCAUGUACCUUAUGAAUAAGGACCGGCUAAUUCCGUGCCAGCCGCCGCCGUAA
rnacentral:rRNA from 1 species